rnacentral:rRNA from 1 species
GCUCAGUAACACGUGGACAAUCUACCCUAAGGUGGGGGAUAACCCCGGGAAACUGGGGAUAAUACCCCAUAGACUAUGAAUGCUGGAAUGCUUUGUAGUCGAAAGGUCAGCCGCCAUAGGAUGGGUCUGCGGCCGAUUAGGCAGUUGUUGGGGUAACGGCCCAACAAGCCUGUAAUCGGUACGGGUUGUGGGAGCAAGAGCCCGGAGAUGGAUUCUGAGACACGAAUCCAGGCCCUACGGGGCGCAGCAGGCGCGAAAACUUUACAAUGCGGGAAACCGUGAUAAGGGAACUCCGAGUGCCCGUUAAAUCGGGCUGUCCAUCAGUUUAAAAAACUGGUGAAGAAAGGGCCGGGCAAGACCGGUGCCAGCCGCCGCGGUAAUACCGGCGGCUCGAGUGGUGGCCACUAUUACUGGGCUUAAAGCGUUCGUAGCUGGUUUGUUAAGUCUCUGGGGAAAUCUUCCGGCUUAACCGGAAGGCGUCUCAGGGAUACUGGCAGACUAGGGACCGGAAGAGGUGAGGGGUACUCCAGGGGUAGGAGUGAAAUCCUGUAAUCCUUGGGGGACCACCUGUGGCGAAGGCGCCUCACCAGGACGGCUCCGACAGUGAGGGACGAAAGCUGGGGGAGCAAACCGGAUUAGAUACCCGGGUAGUCCCAGCCGUAAACGAUGUGUGUUAGGUGUAUCGGUGACCACGAGUCACGGAGGUGCCGAAGAGAAAUCGUGAAACGUACCGCCUGGGAAGUACGGUCGCAAGGCUGAAACUUAAAGGAAUUGGCGGGGGAGCACCACAACAGGUGGAGCCUGCGGUUUAAUCGGACUCAACGCCGGAAAACUCACCAGAUAAGACAGCUGAAUGAUAGUCGGGCUGAAGACUCUACUUGACUAGCUGAGAGGAGGUGCAUGGCCA